rnacentral:rRNA from 1 species
GAUGAACGCUGGCGGCGUGCCUAAUACAUGCAAGUCGAGCGAACAGAUGAGGUGCUUGCUCCUCUGACGUUAGCGGCGGACGGGUGAGUAACACGUGGAUAACCUACCUAUAAGACUGGGAUAACUUCGGGAAACCUGAUCUAAUACCGGAUAAUAUAUUGAACCGCAGGGUUCAAUAGUGAAAGACGGUUUUGCUGUCACUUAUAGAUGGAUCCGCGCCGCAUUAGCUAGUUGGUAAGGUAACGGCUUACCAAGGCGACGAUGCGUAGCCGACCUGAGAGGGUGAUCGGCCACACUGGAACUGAGACACGGUCCAGACUCCUACGGGAGGCAGCAGUAGGGAAUCUUCCGCAAUGGGCGAAAGCUUGACGGAGCAACGCCGCGUGAGUGAUGAAGGUCUUCGGAUCGUAAAACUCUGUUAUUAGGGAAGAACAAAUGUGUAAGUAACUAUGCACGUCUUGACGGUACCUAAUCAGAAAGCCACGGCUAACUACGUG